rnacentral:rRNA from 1 species
AAUAAAAAGAUUUUUUAAUAUUUAAAAUAAAUAAAGUUAUAUUAGAAUUUAAUAAGAUUUAAGUUUUAGUAAUUUAAUUAAAAAUAAUUAUUUAAAUUAUAAAGAUAAUAAUGUAGAUGAAUAAUUAAAAAAUUUUUUUAAGUAAUUUUAAUUUAAUGUACCUUUUGUAUCAGGGCUUAUUAAAAAUAUAUUAUAUUAUUUUAAAAUUUUUCGAAUAAAAAAGAGUUAAAUGAUUAUGAAAAUUAAUGUUGAAUAAUUAUUUUUAAUAUUUAUUUAGAGAAGAAAUUUUAGUCAAUUUUUUAGAUAUCUAAUUUUUUUUGAUAUAAAUUUAAUUUAUAUGUAAAUGUAAUAAUAUUAAAUUAUUUAUAAUUUAAUAUUAUUAAUUUAUAUAAAAAAUUUAUGGGAUAAUCUAUAAAUUAUUUUAAAAAUAUUAAGAAGUUAUAUAUAGAUUUUUAAGAAAAAUAUUUUUAAAAUUGAAAAUUUUUUUAAAAAAUUUAAUAAUUUAUUAAAAUUUAUAGGGGUAAAGAAAAAUUUAAAUUAAGUUUUUAAUUUUAUAAAAAAAUAUUUUAAUGAAUAAAUAAAAUUAAUAGAAAUAAUGAUAAGAUUAGUAUUAAAUAUCUUUAUAUAUUAGAAUGAAUAUUUUAUUUAAAAUUUAAAUAUAUUUUAAGAAUUAGGCAAAUUAAAUUUAUUAUUGUAUUAAAUGAAUUAUAAAGUUAAGUUCACCUGUUUAAUAAAAACAUGGUCUUAAGAAAAAUUAAUUUAAGAUUUAUUCUGCUCCAUGAUUUAAAAAUUAAAUAGCUGCAGUAUUAUUGACUGUACUAAGGUAGCAUAAUCAAUUGUCUUUUUAUUGGGGACUGGGAUGAAGGAAUGGAUGAAAUUUAAGCUGUUUUAGAUGUAUAAUAAAAACUUAUAUAUUAAGUUAAAAUUCUUAAAUAGGAUUAUGGGACGAGAAGACCCUAUAGAAUUUUAUAUAAUUUUUAAAUUUAUUUAUAAUUAAAUUAUUUCAUAUUUAAAAUAUUAUAUUUUGUUGGGAGGAUAAUAAAAUUUAAUUAACUUUUAAUUAAUAAAAAAUAUGAAAAUUAUUGCUUUAAAAUUAUUUUAUUGUAAAUAAUUUAAAUUUUAGGAUAAUUAUUGAUUAAUGAAUGAUUAAGAUGAAUAAAUAAAAAAAAAAAUUUAUUUAUAAAUAGAAUUAAUUACCUUAGGGAUAACAGCGUAAUAUUUUUUUUCAGUUCUUAUGGGGAAAAGUGAUUGCGACCUCGAUGUUGAAUUAAAAUAAAAAUUAAAUGGAGAAAUUUAAUUAUUUAGUCUGUUCGACUAUUUAAAUUUUACAUGAUUUGAGUUUAGAUCGGUGUGAGCCAGAUCGGUUUCUAUCUAUAAUUAAUUUAAAUAAUUUUGUACGAAAGGACUUUUUAUUUAAAAUUAUUUUAAAUUUAGUUGAUUAAUAUUAAAUUAAAAUGAGUUGAUUUUAAAGAAUUAU